AUUGAACGCUGGCGGCAGGCCUAACACAUGCAAGUCGAGCGAGCGGCGGACGGGUGAGUCAUGUAUGGGGAUCUGCCCGAUAGAGGGGGAUAACUACUGGAAACGGUGGCUAAUACCGCAUACUAUCGGAUGAACCCAUAUGGGAUUAGCUAGUAGGUGGGGUAAAGGCUCACCAAGGCGACGAUCAGUAGCUGGUCUGAGAGGAUGACCAGCCACACUGGGACUGAGACACGGCCCAGACUCCUACGGGAGGCAGCAGUGGGGAAUCUUGCGCAAUGGGCGAAAGCCUGACGCAGCCAUGCCGCGUGAAUGAUGAAGGUCUUAGGAUUGUAAAAUUCUUUCACCGGGGACGGUACCCGGAGAAGAAGCCCCGGCUAACUUCGUGCCAGCAGCCGCGGUAAUAC
rnacentral:rRNA from 1 species